rnacentral:misc_RNA from 1 species
AACGCACAUUGCGCCCCUUGGUAUUCCAUGGGGCAUGCCUGUUCGAGCGUCAUUUGUACCUUCAAGCUCUGCUUGGUGUUGGGUGUUUGUCUCGCCUUUGCGUGUAGACUCGCCUCAAAACGAUUGGCAGCCGGCGUAUUGAUUUCGGAGCGCAGUACAUCUCGCGCUUUGCACUCAUAACGACGACGUCCAAAAAGUACAUUUUUACACUCUUGACCUCGGAUCAGGUAGGGAUACCCGCUGAACUUAA